AAAUUAAAAUGAUUGCAGGAAAAUAAGAAUGUGAUCACAACCAGUUUUUCAAAUAUAACACUACGAAAUAAGAUUCUAUCAACCUAAAAUAAGAAGUGAUCACAAGUACAUUCUACCACUUGA